UGAACAUACUUAGUAUUAGAUGAUAUAACUGUAUUGAUGUUAAAUUAUAUAAGCCUGAUAAUCGUAUUGUGGUUGAAUGUCCUUGUUUUUAGGAGAUACAUGCUGAGUAUUUAGAAAUGAAAUGUCAUGAUGUCUGCAACCUUCAUAUGCUGAAAAAAAAUUACCUAUAUACAUAGAGAAAGCAAAAGGGACAGAGUGUUAGCAACAGAUGACUCUAGCUGGAGGAUAUAACGUGCACAUUGGCAUUUUAAAAUUUUUUCUGUAGAUUUGGACUUUUUCUGUUUUUUAUUUUUAUUUAUUUAUUUUCUCUGAGACAGGGUCUCACUCUGUUGCCCAGGCUGGAGCACAGUGGCACAAUCAUGGCUCACUGCAGCCUCGGACUCCUAGACUCAGGUGAUGCUCUUGCUUCAGCCUCCCCAGUAGCUGGGACUACAGGUGCAUGCUCCCAUGCCCGGCUAAUUUUUGUAUUUUUUUGUAGAGAUGGGGUUUCACCAUGUGUACCCAGGCUGGUCUCAAAACUUCUGGGCUCAAGCAGUGUGCCCACCUCGGCCUCCAAAGUGCUGGGAUUAUAGACAUGAGCCACCACACCCAGCCUGGAAUUUUUCAAAAUAAAAAUUGGAGCGGGGAAUCUCAGCUAUGUGGUUUGGAUCAAGUAUAUGCAGAUAUGGAUAUCUGGUUAUGUGGCUUAUCCACAGAGUCCAGCCUAAGAUCUGGGUUUAAAUUAUACUGCUGUCAUUUUUUUCCUUUUGAGGGAGUGGAUAUAGUAGAAAGAAUUGGGAUUUCAAUAUUUUCUCCAGAACUUACUAGCUUUGUGACCUUGGAUAGUUAAUUUAUGCUCCUUCGCCUCAGUUUGUUCAUCUAUAACAAGGGUAGUUGUAAGGAUUGAGGACACUGUCUUGGGAAAAAUGGCUUGCAUAUAUUAAGUACUCAAUAAAUUAUAGGUAUUAGCCCCUUUUAUUAAAAUUAUUUUUUACUGUUUGGGAUAAUCUUCCUUCAAUCUUUUUAUUUUUUGCACUAGUAGCGCCUGUUCUAAAAAAAGUGUGUUUAUAUUCUAUAGGACUGGCUGAUAGUCUAAGAGGGGAAGCCAUAUUUUAGCCUGGCCACCAGAGGUAGAUCAUGUUAAUCAAAGCAUUUUAACCAAGGCUUUCCUGUUUCUUCUUUCUCCCUGCUUUGCAUUUGAUCACUUCUUAGCUUUUAUUUCUUAACGCGAUGGGAACAUUUGCAGGUCUCAGUGAUUCUACAGACUGUUAGCACAAUGUGUCUAAUCGGAGGGGAUAGACUUUUUAAAAAUAACUCUUCUGGUAGUUAAAUAAUUCCUCAUGGAAAAUGUGUAAAUUAUAGAAAAAAUUCAAUAGGAAAAAUAAGUUGUCUGUAGUCCUACCUCCCCGGAGAUAGCCACUGGUACUGUUUUGUGGGUUUCCUCCCAGUCUGAUUUUCUAGGUACAGAAAUGGACAAAAGUGUUCCAUUUAAUUUUUCCAAAACCAGGAUCACGGGGAAUGCUGCCAGUAUUUGAGCGAAAGUAUCUGUGUUUUGGUCACUGUUUUGCUGUGAAUGCUGUGUUUAUGAGGCUGCCUAGCAGUUUUCACCCUUUCCUGCAACUCAGCACAUUCCCUGGGGCGGAGUCAGGUCAUGGGCUGCAACCUGGAGAGUUUAUGGCAAACAGAAGCCCCUGUUACCUCAUCCAAUGGAGAUAACCCUUGCUGCCUAGGAGAUGUGCUGUAUAUUCUUCCAGGUCUUGUUUUUCUUGAUAGACUCAUGGUAGCUUUUACAUCAUUUCCAUUUGCGAAUGAAACUCAGUUGACCCUUGAACAACAUGAGCUUGAACUGCAUGGGUCCACUUACAUGCAGAUUAUUUUCAAUCAAUAUAUUUCGGAGAUUUUCAACAACAUGAAAACACUCAUAGAUAUACACCAUGUAUAACUGUGUAGCCUAGAUAUACC
rnacentral:lncRNA from 1 species